rnacentral:rRNA from 1 species
GCAAGUCGAGCGCGAAAGCACUUCGGUGUGAGUAGAGCGGCGGAUGGGUGAGUAACGCGUAGGAAUCUACCUAGUAGUGGGGGACAACUCGGGGAAACUCGAGCUAAUACCGCAUACGCCCUAAGGGGGAAAGCGGGGGAUCUUCGGACCUCGCGCUAUUGGAUGAGCCUGCGUCGGAUUAGCUAGUUGGUGGGGUAAAGGCUCACCAAGGCGACGAUCCGUAGCUGGUCUGAGAGGAUGAUC